GACCUCUCCACUAGCCUUAAUGGUUAGAGCAUCCGCCUUGGAUGGGGAAGGUCGCGGGCUUCAAUUCCUUCUGAGUCA